CUGAUUUCUGAAACUCUUCAUUUUAAGGUUGUUGCGAGAUUCCAUGACUGCCGUUAACAGUCUACUAAAUGGUAACGCGACACCGCUACUCAUCAAUGGAGAUGGCAGAGCCUACGUUCACAAGGUUGGGCUCGGUGGUCGGGUUGACUCUUCCGGUACUCCAAACGAAAGCAACGCACCGGAAGGUCGCUGUUCAACCUGUUUGAGGCGCGUGAGCGGGGGCAUUGUGGGCUGGUUGGAGAACUCUUUCUACAGAUUAGGGAAAUUAGUGGCGCGCAACCCAUGGAGGUGUCUUGUCAUAUGCGUUAUCGUCUGUGGCGUGGCGGGGAUCGGAAUGACCAAAUGGCACGAAGAAAAUGAGUGUGGCUACCCCGGGAUUCCCGGAUGUACGAAGAACACGAAUGAGUGAUGAAGAACUUUCCAGACAGUAUACGCUACGAGGCGGUUAUAAUACAAGACGAAAAUGUCCUCUCCCCCCAAUCAGUAAAUGCUAUACUCGACAUUUAUUUACGUGCCAAAAACUUCGCCAUCAUCAACAACAGUUCAUUGUAAGAAAUAUGUAUAAGAACUGGCCCGGUAUGUCGCGUGAACAGUAUAUUAGAGUUAUAGGCCUACAACGAAACUGUGAUCAGAGCGCUAACAUCGCACGAUAUAUUUAACACCAUCAACCAACCAAG